rnacentral:lncRNA from 1 species
GCAUGUUUCCGUUUCAUGUGUUAAAUACGGGAUCCAAGAUGUUUUUUUUUCGCUCGUUUAAAUUGAGCCUAUCUAACGUGUUUAACCAGCCAACGUGUUUAACCAACGUGUUUAACCAACAUGUUUAACCAACGUGUUUAACCAACCAACCAACCAACCAACCAACAAUCCAAUCAAUCAAUGCAUGUUUCCGUUUCAUGUGUUAAAUACGGGAUCCAAGAUGGUUUUUUUUUCGCUUGUUUAAAUUGAGCCUAUCUAACGUGUUUAACCAGCCAACGUGUUUAACCAACGUGUUAACCAACGUGUUUAACCAACGUGUUUACCAACCAACCAAACCAACCAACCAACCAACCAAUCAACCAAUCAAUGCAUGUUUCCGUUUCAUGUGUUAAAUACGGGAUCCAAGAUGGUUUUUUUUCGCUUGUUAAAAUUGAGCCUAUCAAACGUGUUUAAACUACGUGUUUAACCAACGUGUUUAACCAAUGUUUAACCAACGUGUUUAACCAACCAACCAACCAAUCAAUCAAUCAAUGCAUGUUUCCGUUUCAUGUGUUAAAUACGGGAUCCAAGAUGGUUUUUUUUCGCUUGUUUAAAUUGAGCCUAUCAAACGUGUUUAACCAGCCAACGUGUUUAACCAACAUGUUUAACCAACGUGUUUAACCAACCAACCAACCAACCAAUCAACCAAUCAAUGCAUGUUUCCGUUUCAUGUGUUAAAUACGGGAUCCAAGAUGUUUUUUUUUUCGCUUGUUUAAAUUGAGCCUUUCAAACGUGUUUAACCAGCCAACGUGUUUAACCAACGUGUUCAACCAACAUGUUUAACCAACGUGUUUAACCAACCAACCAACCAAUCAAUCACUUAAUGUAUGUUUCCGUGUCAUGCGUUUAAUACGGGAUGCAAGGUCUCUUGAGGUUUUUUCCCUUGUUCUAAGUGACCCUAUCAAACGUGUUUAAUCAACCAACCAACAAACCAACCAAUCAAUCAACCAACUAAUCAAUCAAUCAAUAUGUAUGACUGUUUAUUUAUGACAGUAUAUUGAAGGAACAAACUCUCAAUUAUUCAAGAAAAUUUUUAUUUUAUUAUUGUUCUUACGUCUCUUCUGAAAAAAAAUCCACAUAUUCUCUGAAACUACAAGUCCAAUCGACCUGAAAAUUUGCAGUCAGCAGGGCAUACAUGUACUGAAGGUUCAUAAAAAAAACUUUUGCAGAUAUCUCUCAAGAC